rnacentral:snoRNA from 1 species
UGUCUUGAUGCUUGUCUGUUGCCAAGGUUUCCACUACCAAGGCAAGAAAAAGUGUUCCAGUGCUUUCUGUGUGAUCGUCACAGCCCAGAUUGAAUAGGGGUAUACAGGA